rnacentral:rRNA from 1 species
AACGAACGCUGGCGGCGUGCCUAACACAUGCAAGUCGAACGGAAUUUGAGAGCUUGCUCUUAAAUUUAGUGGCGCACGGGUGAGUAACGCGUAGAUAAUCUGCCUGAUGAUCUGGGAUAACUGUUCGAAAGGACUGCUAAUACCGGAUAAGCCCACGGGUUCUUUGGAAUCUGCGGGAAAAGGGGGGGACCUUUUGGCCUUCUGUCAUCAGAUGAGUCUGCGUACCAUUAGCUAGUUGGGAGGGUAAAGGCCUACCAAGGCUACGAUGGUUAGCUGAUCUGGAGGGAUGAUCAGCCACACUGGAACUUAAACACGGUCCAGACUCCUACGGGAGGCAGCAGUGGGGAAUUUUGCGCAAUGGGCGAAAGCCUGACGCAGCAACGCCGCGUGAGUGAUGAAGGCUUUCGGGUCGUAAAGCUCUGUCAGGGGGAAAGAAAUGUAUUGUGGCUAAUAUCCGCGAUACUUGACGGUACCCCCAAAAGAAGCACCGGCUAACUCCGUGCCAGCAGCCGCCGUAA